rnacentral:lncRNA from 1 species
CACACUCGUACAAUUAUAAUCCAAAAUUACAAAAAUGGGAUAAGUCAAUGCAUCGAAAUUUCCAACAUUCAAUCAACGAAUAAGAAAUAUUCAAUAUCAGCGUAACGUAAUCAAUACCGCUGCGAAAAAAAUUCGUUUCCAAUGCCACUCUUUCUGACUUAUCUAUCGGGCAGUAAUGUUGUAGUCACAAAAUGGAACAAGAAAACUCCUUCUGAAUACAGCCUUAAUAAAAAACGAAGAACAGGUAACCAAAUUGAGAUUUCAUUCAUAGCAUUAGGAAGACAGAUCUUAUAAUUGAAGAGCAAAUAAAGUUUAGGAUUGGACCUUUUAUAGAUGCAAUAUGUUUUUGAAACAAUGAACAAGAAAAAAUCCGGCCAGAGCUAACUGUUGACGACCUCGAAGCACCGGACCUCGAACCAAAACCUCGACUCAAACAAAACUCCACCCAUUUAAUGGAAAUCGCUGAAAAAUGUAAAACCGUCCAGAUCUCACUGUCAGAAUCCUUUAAAGCUGAUUUACGAAGACAAAACCAACAACAAAAUGCGAUCGUAGACUUCGAACAGCGACCUCGACAAAACUUCGCCGGACUUUAACUGGACUGCUUCGCUUUUCCUCCAUCUAUCUGUCACUCUAUUUUAGUGACCUCUUGUUACUGCUCUAUCCAUGUGUGUGCGUGUGGUCGUGGAAGGCUGUUGAAGGAGGUCGUUGGUGUUAUGGGUUGUUUUCUGGUGAGCUUGGUUGAGUCGCUGGCGUGAGGAGAAGGACGAGGAGAGGUAGUGUUGGUUGGUAAAGGUUUAGAGUCGAUGAUUGUUGUGUGUUCGACGUGAGGGGUGGUCGUUUGUAAGGUGAAGCUUCGCCGGAGAUGGCAGCUUUGCGGUGAACGGAGGUCUAGCGACAGCGACUGUUUGCUUGGUGUCUCUAAUGGCUGAAGAAGGAAGAUGAUAUCUGAUGGGGGGUUCUCCUAAGGUCUAAAACGGCUGACCCUAGGUUCUUUUAGUGUUCUAGGGUUUUUGGUUCAAUCUCCAUGAAGAAGAUGAAGGAGAUACGUUGGGGGGGUCUUCCAUGAUGUUAUG